UGCCUGGUCUUCGGGGAGCGGAGGCGUCGGAAACCCAGCACUUUAGGCGCGCGCUGCGCGGCUUUAGAGGCGCUGACAAUCGAAGAGGCUUCCCCAGG
rfam:Ochotona princeps cont2.55295, whole genome shotgun sequence.